GACGAACGCUGGCGGCGUGCCUAAUACAUGCAAGUAGAACGCUGAAGAGAGGAGCUUGCUCUUCUUGGAUGAGUUGCGCACGGGUGAGUAACGCGUAGGUAACCUGCCUUGUAGCGGGGGAUAACUAUUGGAAACGAUAGCUAAUACCGCAUAACAAUAGGUGACACAUGUCAUUUAUUUGAAAGGGGCAAUUGCUCCACUACAAGAUGGACCUGCGUUGUAUUAGCUAGUAGGUGAGGUAACGGCUCACCUAGGCGACGAUACAUAGCCGACCUGAGAGGGUGAGCGGCCAAACUGGGACUGAGACACGGCACAGACUCCUACGGGAGGCAGCAGUAGGGAACCUUCGGCAAUGGGGGCAACCCUGACCGAGCAACGCCGCGUGAGGGAAGAAGGGUGUCGGAUCGUAAAGCUCUGUUGUAAGUCAAGAACGAGUGUGAGAGUGGAAAGUUCACACUGUGACGGUAGCUUACCAGAAAGGGACGGCUAACUACGUG
rnacentral:rRNA from 1 species